rnacentral:rRNA from 1 species
GAUCAUGGCUCAGGACGAACGCUGGCGGCGUGCCUAACACAUGCAAGUCGAGCGGAGACAGUGAGUAGCUUGCUAUGAGCUGUUUUAGCGGCGGACGGGUGAGUAACGCGUGAGCAACCUUUCCCAGACGAGGGGAAUAACACACCGAAAGGUGUACUAAUACCGCAUAAGACCACGGGAUCACAUGGUUCUGAGGUAAAAGAUUUAUCGGUUUGGGGUGGGCUCGCGUCCGAUUAGGUAGUUGGUGG